rnacentral:misc_RNA from 1 species
AACGCACCUUGCGCUCCUUGGUAUUCCGAGGAGCAUGCCUGUUUGAGUGUCAUUAAUAUAUCAACCUCUUCAACUUUUGUUUGUCGGGUGUUGGAUUUGGGGGUCUUUUUUGCUGGCCCUAAGGUCAGCUCCCCUGAAAUGCAUUAGCAGAACAAUUUGUGAACCGUUCAUUGGUGUGAUAACUAUCUACGCUGUUGACGUGAAACAAGUUCAGCUUCUAACAGUCCAUUGACUUGGACAACUUUUCAUUAAUGUGACCUCAAAUCAGGUAGGACUACCCGCUGAACUUAA